rnacentral:rRNA from 1 species
UCGAGUGGCGAACGGGUGAGUAACACGUGGGUGAUCUGCCCUGCACUUUGGGAUAAGCCUGGGAAACUGGGUCUAAUACCGAAUAUGACCACGCUCUUCAUGGGGUGUGGUGGAAAGCUUUUGCGGUGUGGGAUGGGCCCGCGGCCUAUCAGCUUGUUGGUGGGGUAAUGGCCUACCAAGGCGACGACGGGUAGCCGGCCUGAGAGGGUGACCGGCCACACUGGGACUGAGAUACGGCCCAGACUCCUACGGGAGGCAGCAGUGGGGAAUAUUGCACAAUGGGCGCAAGCCUGAUGCAGCGACGCCGCGUGAGGGAUGACGGCCUUCGGGUUGUAAACCUCUUUCACCAGGGACGAAGCGCAAGUGACGGUACCUGGAGAAGAAGCACCGGCCAACUACGUGCCAGCAGCCGCGGUAAUACGUAGGGUGCGAGCGUUGUCCGGAAUUACUGGGCGUAAAGAGCUCGUAGGUGGUUUGUCGCGUUGUUCGUGAAAACUCACAGCUUAACUGUGGGCGUGCGGGCGAUACGGGCAGACUAGAGUACUGCAGGGGAGACUGGAAUUCCUGGUGUAGCGGUGGAAU